UUAAGUUCAGCGGGUAGUCCUACCUGAUUCGAGGUCAAAAACAAGAAGUCGGGGGUUUUACGGCGUGGCCGCGCUGCUCUCCGGUGCGAGGUGUGCUACUACGCAAAGGAAGCUGCAGCGUGACCGCCACUGUAUUUGGGGGACGGCGCGGCACGAAGCCGGGAUGCCGAUCCCCAACGCCAAGCAGAGCUUGAGGGUUG
rnacentral:misc_RNA from 1 species